rnacentral:tRNA from 1 species
UUUCCACUGGUGUAACGGUAGCACUACAGAUUCUGGUUCUGUCUGUCGAGGUUCGAAUCCUUGGUGGAAAA